AUUAAAGUAUUAGUAAUUUAUUUUUGUUACUAAAAUUAAAUUCAGUUUGUUCCUGCAUAAAUCUUUUUAGUACUAAACUGCUUUGGAAUGAAUUUUUUGGGGGACAACAGCAGGAUUAGGGCCAUCUUCUAGAUGCCAUCAGGUAGGUGCGCUAGCGUAGUUUGUUGUAGCAUUAUAUCCCUUUUCCCCCUUUUUAAAAAAUGUUUGUAAGACGCCUGACGUUUGUAUAAGUUAGAUAUAUAAGUAAGAGACUUGGAAAAUAGAAAAGGACAGAGAAGAUGGAAGAGGAUUGCUUUGAAAUAGAAGGAAAGGAGAUAGAAGAUGUUUGAGGAAAGGUGGAGGAUUUUGUUCGCUGUAACGGAAGUUUUUUGAAUGAAAUUUGGAGCAACUGUAUUAAGAUGUUAUUGGUAUCUUGGACAUCAAGUUUCAUUUAUUUAUGUAUUAUACAAGCAUAUCUAUUGGUGGAAAUGUAGAAUGGCAGCUGUUAUAACAACUUGGAUGAAUUAUUAGAAACAUCAAAGAAGUUUUGACAUAAUUUAAAUUGGGAAAAACGUCACAAAUGACCAAUUUAUUCUACAGUAGAUACAGGACAUUAAAUUGACUUCAACAACGCAGAUAUCUCUCAAAAAUGAUAUCUGUUCGAGUGAUGUACUGAGCGUUAAUAGUUGCUGUUACAAAUCUGCAAAUGAGUUACUACUGUAUAUAAGUUGGAGGAAUGCCAAGGAAUUUUUUGAAUAAAGUGAUACUGAAAAUCUUACCCACAAAUGACAAUUUUAAGAUACAAUCAAUAGUAUUUGGAUUGAUUGGCCUUCAUUACCGUUGCGCUAUGAAAAUGUGGGCUGUACAAAUUGAUGUUAGUGGACGGUUUUGAUAGCUGCUGUUCAAAAGUUCCAUUUUUAAUGGAAAACCUUUAAUGGACACAGAAAAAUGCCAUUUACUGGAUUGACUUCGACACCUGUUGCCUUUUAACAAUGGCAUACGAUAGGACAAUUGCUAUUAGAAACCGAUAAGACAUACUAGCUGCAAAUAAUAUGUAUGGUGGUCAUAAAAGAGAUUUAAAUGGAAUGAAACUCUCUCUCUCUCUUGUGCAGAAGAAAUCAAGGAAUACCAUUUUGAACUGCUGUUACUUGCUAGCUGUUAGAGGGGAUCCAGUUCUUCAUCAAUAUAUCUCUGCAUUUUCUUAACAAUGGAUAUCAACAGUUUCUCCUACUCCUCAGUUUCCUCUUUCUCUCAACAUAAAGCAGACUCAAUACUCCUCAAUGCCUCACCAAGGUUCGUUAGCUUCAUUAAUAGUAUUAUUGUUUCAAUAAAUUUGUUUAUUGGUUUUUAUCUUCUUACUAUAUAAUUAUAUCAGGCGUCAUUUUAAUGUUAAUUUUUUGUAAAAUUUUGAUAAUCUGGAUAGAAACUUUUUUUUCUUAAGCUUUUGCAAUAUAAAACCUAUAGGACGAAUAGGACCAUUAUCUCUGUUGAUAUUGUCUUUAUAUUUAUGCUUUGUGUUGCCUCUAGUUUGAGGAACGUUUGAUUAAUUUUAAAUCAUUCAAAUCAAUGCAAUAAUCUUUAUGGAGGAUAUGUUGAGCAACAUGAUACUAAUCUGUUAUAAUUUUUCAUCUCAAGCUUUUUUUCAAUCUCACCUAUCUUAUAUUUACUUCCAUUAGUUCAACCUGGUUCAAGCAUUAAAUUGUUAUUUAAUAAAACUAUAUUGUAUUCUGGAUUUCGUCAAAGGUAUUUAUUAAAAGAUUUCAUCAAAGGUAUUUUUUAAAAGAAUUAAAAAACAAUCUUUAUAGGCUUGUAUCAUUUCCAAUUUAUUUUUAUCUUGUAUUAUUUAUAUUUUCCUAAGCUUCUCUAAGUUUAUUCCAUAUUAUCAAAAUUAUAAAUUUUAUACUUGCGCAGCUGCGUCACUAUAGCCCUAUGAACACAAGUAUUAUUUUGGUUUUAAAGUUAUGUUUUUUAAUAUUUUAUUUAUUGUAUUAACGCAAAACUAAAUUUUAUAGAAUUUAACUAACUAUAUCUUCAAUCGGAUGAUAAUUUAAUAGUUAAUGGUCAAUUUAAUAGUUUUUUAUAAAAAUUAAAUGUGAUUAUUGAAUACCAAUGUCAAGCCAGUAGAAAUUAUUUAUUAGUGUGUAUUUUUUUUUGAAACAAUUUUUACUAAAUCAAUUUUGGAUACUUGUGUUCAUAUAGUUUUUUUUUGCUUUUGAGAAUUAUUUUUGGUACCCUAACACAGAUGUUUUUAAUCAAUUUAUAUGAUUUUAAAACAUUUAUGUUUAUAUCUAUUUUGUACUUAAAUUUUAGUGAUAAAGUUUGUUUCUUUAACACAGAGAGCAAUGCACUUCACGCAUUUUCUUUUUUAUGUGCACAAUUUUCUUUAUAUACAGUAUGUCCUCAGAACGUCUUUACAAGAGCAAAAGCUUUUUUUAUUAACAUUUUCAUAAAAAAUACAUUCUUUAUAAACAUAUUUUUCUUUUUAAUAUUUUCAUUUCAAUUUUUUUAACAAAUAUAUUGUGAGCACACAUUUUAAAAUUAUUUUUCAUAGAUAUACUGUGCGAUUCAAGUAUAUUUAUACUAAAUUUGUUUUUUUUAAUGAAUUUUAACCUUUAGUAUUACUGGUUGUCUAAUCGAUUCUUAUGUAAUCUUAUGUAUGUGGUAAUGUUCUUAUUAUUUAAAAAAAAUCUUAUUUCCAGUAGUAAUUUUUUAUCUCAAUUUUAGUAUUUAAAAUGUCUCUAUCUUGUCAUAUUUAUUUAACAUAUCUAUUAGACCUCUACUCAAACUUUAUCUCCUAAAAUUUAUGAAUUUUAUAUAUGAAAAUGGUCUGCUAGGGUAUAUAAUAUAUUUAUUGUAGGAUCAGUUGAAAUAUCAUAAGUCAUAAUAUAAAAAUUAACAUUUGUAUAUACAUAUUUGUUAAAUAUAUAAUUUUAAGAUAAAACACAUUUUUACACAAAAAUAAUAAUUCUAGUUUUAUAUUAUGUGGCAUAUCUUUUUUCAAUUGGUCCUUCAACAUUUAAAAUCUUUUGACAUAGAUUUCAUUCCACUUAAAUGUCACAAAAAUAUAUAUUUUAAUACCAAUUUUGUAUGUUAUUUGGUGUAUUAGAAUUUUAUAAAUAUUGUUUUUAAUAUUUUGUUAAUAAUAGUUGUCUCUGAAAAUAGUGAUCUAUAGCUUACCUUUGCUAUCUGUAAUAGGAAAUAUUUCUAAAUAUUUUUUGUUGAAAAUAAAUAUUACUUUAUAACAUUUAUUAAGCAAAAUAAAUUUGAAAUCCCUAUUAUUAUCAAAGAGAUAUCAUUAGAGUGUUUCAAUACAAUAUCUUUUUUUUUCAAACGUUACAAAACUAUUAAUUUUUGUGACAUGAUGACAACAAAGAUUGACAUAUUUAUAAAAAAGUAUUUUUUACCCUUAAACACAAAAGUGCAAAAAUUAUUAUUGAACUGUCAUUAAGUGUCUUACAACAUAUUACUUUUAAAUAUUUUAUAUUUUUUGCAACGUUUGAAAUUGUUUAACACAUUAUAUUUGACG